rnacentral:rRNA from 1 species
UAAUCCCGAAACAAGGAGAGCUGAUUUCAAUUUGUUAAGAACCUAUUAACUACUGUGACAUUAGUAUUAACAAAAUUCAAAUCAGAAGCUACAUACCAUCCGCGCCUUGUUAUAGCUGGUUUCCCUUAAAUCAGUAUAAGCUGAAUAAAUUGAAUAUACCCCAAUUAACACAAAUCAAUUAAAUAAUACAUCAGAGGAUAAGCUCUUAUGUUAAUCUUAUAUAAAAUAAAGUUUAAUCUCAAAAGUAGGCCUAAAAUCAGCCAUCAAAAACCUCGUUAUAGAAAUACCCUCACAAAAAUAUAUAUAUUAUAUAACACUUCAGGGAUAUUAAUUACAACUAUUAAAUAUAAAAACUAUGCAUAAAUAAGUAUUUCAUAUAAAUUAUUUUUUAUACUCCAACAUAAAUAAAAAAGGAACUCGGCAAAUAAUGAUCCCGUCUGUUUACCAAAAACAUAGCCUAUUGUUCAAAAUAUUAUAGGUAUAUCCUGCCCAGUGAUAAUUUCAACGGCCGCGGUAUCCUGACCGUGCAAAGGUAGCAUAAUCAUUUGUCUCUUAAUUAGUGACUUGUAUGAACGGAUAAACGAGUAUCAAACUGUCUCCUUUAUUACAAUAUAAAUUAAUCUUCAGGUGAAGAAGCCUGAAUUUUAUUAAAAGACAAGAAGACCCUGUCGAGCUUUAUUUUACAUUAAACUAUAAAAUUCUUUCCUUUAAAUAAAAUUUAGUUGGGGCGACAAAGGAACAAAUAAAUCUUCCUUAAUAUAUUAGAUUUCAAAUCAAGUAAUAGAUCCAUUAAUUGAUCAAAGAAAAUAGCUACCGCAGGGAUAACAGUCUAAUUCUCCUCAAGAGCUCAUAUCUAAAGGAGAGAUUGGCACCUCGAUGUUGGCUUAGGAAAUCUUCUAAACGCAG